rnacentral:rRNA from 1 species
UGGCUCAGGAUGAACGCUGGCGGCGUGCCUAAUACAUGCAAGUCGAGCGAACGGACGAGAAGCUUGCUUCUCUGAUGUUAGCGGCGGACGGGUGAGUAACACGUGGAUAACCUACCUAUAAGACUGGGAUAACUUCGGGAAACCGGAGCUAAUACCGGAUAAUAUUUUGAACCGCAUGGUUCAAAAGUGAAAGACGGUCUUGCUGUCACUUAUAGAUGGAUCCGCGCUGCAUUAGCUAGUUGGUAAGGUAACGGCUUACCAAGGCAACGAUGCAUAGCCGACCUGAGAGGGUGAUCGGCCACACUGGAACUGAGACACGGUCCAGACUCCUACGGGAGGCAGCAGUAGGGAAUCUUCCGCAAUGGGCGAAAGCCUGACGGAGCAACGCCGCGUGAGUGAUGAAGGUCUUCGGAUCGUAAAACUCUGUUAUUAGGGAAGAACAUAUGUGUAAGUAACUGUGCACAUCUUGACGGUACCUAAUCAGAAAGCCACGGCUAACUACGUGCCAGCAGCCGCGGUAAUACGUAGGUGGCAAGCGUUAUCCGGAAUUAUUGGGCGUAAAGCGCGCGUAGGCGGUUUUUUAAGUCUGAUGUGAAAGCCCACGGCUCAACCGUGGAGGGUCAUUGGAAACUGGAAAACUUGAGUGCAGAAGAGGAAAGUGGAAUUCCAUGUGUAGCGGUGAAAUGCGCAGAGAUAUGGAGGAACACCAG